GCGGGGCGCGGUCGCACCACGUGGUCCCGGCGGCCCGACUGCUGGGGCGGCGCCUCCGCCGCUGAUCUCGUCGCGCGGGGCCGCGGUGACAGUGGGCGUCUCGGCGCGGGAUUUUUUAACGAGGUGUGAUCAAAAUAUACGGUGAGUCUUUCUUAAUGGCUGUAGUGAAAGGGGCGUGGCCAGGAACCGCUCAAACCCUCCCUCGCUUCGAACUGGCCCUCUCCGCGCGUCUCUGGAGGUGUCCAGGAAUACGCCAGGCGCUGCCGCCCUCGCCGUUCACCAGGAGGCAGCUCCUAAAAACAGGACGCUGCGACCUCAUCCACCGUGUUCUCCGGAUCUGCUGCCCUGCGACUCUGGCUCCUCCCGAGUGAGUGACCACGGAAGGGAAACAUCCAUUCAGGACCUGGAGGCGGCCGGGACAGCGCAGCCGAUGAUGCUCCGGAAAGAGGACUCCGGGGUUGCUGCACCAACCGCAGCGGAGACGAAGCCCCAGGGCCUGGCCUGAGCGGUCAGCCACGCCUCGGGGUCAGUUGACAGAGGAGCUCCGGGGGCCUGGAGACCGGGAGAGCGCGCCUCACCUGGGGGAGCCUCCUCCGGUCCUUCCCGGACCUCGGCCGAGGCGGCUGCAGUUGGGAGGGGGGGAAUGCCAUCAGCGCAAGGCCAAAGCGAUGCCCGAAUAUGACGACGUUUCCUUCUCUGGCAAGGAUGACUCCAGCUACAUUUGAACACAGCAAAUAAAAACUUCACCACAUCACCA